rnacentral:rRNA from 1 species
AGUGAACGCUGGCGGCAGGCCUAACACAUGCAAGUCGAGCGGCAGCGGGAAAGUAGCUUGCUACUUUUGCCGGCGAGCGGCGGACGGGUGAGUAAUGCCUGGGAAAUUGCCCAGUCGAGGGGGAUAACAGUUGGAAACGACUGCUAAUACCGCAUACGCCCUACGGGGGAAAGCAGGGGACCUUCGGGCCUUGCGCGAUUGGAUAUGCCCAGGUGGGAUUAGCUAGUUGGUGAGGUAAUGGCUCGCCAAGGCGACGAUCCCUAGCUGGUCUGGGAGGACGAUCAGCCACACUGGAACUGAGACACGGUCCAGACUCCUACGGGAGGCAGCAGUGGGGAAUAUUGCACAAUGGGGGAAACCCUGAUGCAGCCAUGCCGCGUGUGUGAAGAAGGCCUUCGGGUUGUAAAGCACUUUCAGCGAGGAGGAAAGGUUGAUGCCUAAUACGUAUCAACUGUGACGUUACUCGCAGAAGAAGCACCGGCUAACUCCGUGCCAGCCGCCGCCGUAA